rnacentral:rRNA from 1 species
UAACCAUAGUGGCGCACGGGUGCGUAACGCGUAACCAACCUGCCCUUGACUGGGGGAUAGCCCGCCGAAAGGCGGAUUAAUACCGCAUAAAACAGUAGCCCGGCAUCGGGUAAUUGUUAAAGAUUUAUUGGUCAAGGAUGGGGUUGCGUGCCAUUAGCUAGUUGGGGGGGUAACGGCCCACCAAGGCGACGAUGGCUAGGGGAGCUGAGAGGCUGGUCCCCCACACGGGCACUGAGAUACGGGCCCG